rnacentral:rRNA from 1 species
CCUACGGGAGGCAGCAGUAGGGAAUCUUCCGCAAUGGACGAAAGUCUGACGGAGCAACGCCGCGUGAGUGAUGAAGGCUUUCGGGUCGUAAAACUCUGUUGUUAGGGAAGAACAAGUGCUAGUUGAAUAAGCUGGCACCUGACGGUACCUAACCAGAAGUAACGUUUGU